GACGGGGGGUCCUAGCGUUGUUCGGAAUCAUUGGGCGUAAAGCGUGUGCAGGUGGUUUGGUAAGUUGGAUGUGAAAGCCUUGGGCUUAACCAAGGAAGUGCAUCCGAAACUGCAGUGCUUGAGUACUUAAGAGGAUCGCGGAAUUCCCGGUGUAGAGGUGAAAUUCGUAGAUAUCGAGGAGGAACACCGGUGGCGGCGAAAGCGGCGUGCUGGACCUUUCUGACGCUGAGGAGCGAAAGCGGAUGGGGAGCCGAACGGAGGA
rnacentral:rRNA from 1 species